rnacentral:rRNA from 1 species
AGAGUUUGAUCCUGGCUCAGGACGAACGCUGGCGGUAUGCUUAACACAUGCAAGUCGAACGAGACGAGAUGGAAGGAUCCUUCGGGUGACAGAAAUCUUAGAAAGUGGCGAACGGGUGAGUAACGCGUGGGUAACCUGCCCUAUGGAAAGGAAUAGCCUCGGGAAACUGGGAGUAAUGCCUUAUAAUAUAGUGAAGUCGCAUGGCUUUGCUAUUAAACGCUCCGGUGCCAUAGGAUGGACCCGCGUCCCAUUAGCUAGUUGGUGAGAUAACAGCUCACCAAGGCGACGAUGGGUAACCGGUCUGAGAGGGCGAACGGUCACACUGGAACUGAGACACGGUCCAGACUCCUACGGGAGGCAGCAGUGGGGAAUAUUGCGCAAUGGGGGCAACCCUGACGCAGCAAUACCGCGUGAGUGAAGAAGGUUUUCGGAUCGUAAAGCUCUGUUAUUGGGGAAGAAAAAAGACGGUACCCAAGAAGAAAGUCCCGGCUAACUACGUGCCAGCAGCCGCGGUAAUACGUAGGGGACAAGCGUCGUCCGGAUUUACUGGGCGUAAAGGGCACGCAGGCGGUUUUUUAAGUCAGAUGUGAAAGGUACCGGCUCAACCGGUGACAUGCAUUUGAAACUGAAAGACUUGAGUAUUGGAGAGGCAAGUGGAAUUCCUAGUGUAGCGGUGAAAUGCGUAGAUAUUAGGAGGAACACCGGUGGCGAAGGCGGCUUGCUGGACAAAUACUGACGCUGAGGUGCGAAAGCGUGGGGAGCAAACAGGAU